UACAGAGGUCCCAAGCGUUGUUCGGAUUCACUGGGCGUAAAGGGUGCGUAGGUGGUUGGGUAAGUUUGAUGUGAAAUCUCCGGGCUUAACCCGGAAACUGCAUUGAAUACUAUCUAACUAGAGGGUUGGAGGGGGGACUGGAAUACUUGGUGUAGCAGUGAAAUGCGUAGAUAUCAAGUGGAACACCAGUGGCGAAGGCGAGUCCCUGGACAACUCCUGACACUGAGGCACGAAAGCUAGGGGAGCAAACAGG
rnacentral:rRNA from 1 species